UACGUAGGGUGCAAGCGUUGUCCGGAAUUAUUGGGCGUAAAGAGCGUGUAGGCGGCCCGAUUAGUCCGCUGUGAAAGUCCAGGGCUCAACCCUGGAAUGCCGGUGGAUACUGUCGGGCUAGAGUCCGGAAGGGGCGAGUGGAAUUCCUGGUGUAGCGGUGAAAUGCGCAGAUAUCAGGAGGAACACCAAUGGCGAAGGCAGCUCGUUGGGACGUGACUGACGCUGAGACGCGAAAGCGUGGGGAGCAAACAGG
rnacentral:rRNA from 1 species